CCUACGGGCGGCAGCAGUGAGGAAUAUUGGUCAAUGGGCGCGAGCCUGAACCAGCCAAGUAGCGUGAAGGAUGACUGCCCUACGGGUUGUAAACUUCUUUUAUAAAGGAAUAAAGUGAGGCACGUGUGCCUUUUUGUAUUUACUUUAUGAAUAAGGCACGGCUAACUCCGUGCCAGCCGCCGCGGUAAUACGGAGGAUCCGACCGUUAUCCGGAUUUUUUGGGUUUAAAGGGCGCGUAGAUGGGUUGUUAAGUUCGGUGUGAAAGUUUGCGGCUCAAACGUAAAAUUGCAAUUGAUACUGGCAGCCUUGAGUACAGUUGAGGUAGGCGGAAUUCGUGGUGUAGCGGUGAAAUGCUUAGAUAUCACGAAGAACUCCGAUUGCGAAGGCAGCCUACUAAACUGCCACUGACAUUGAUGCUCGAAAGUGUGGGUAUCAAACAGGAUUAGAUACCCGGGUAGUC
rnacentral:rRNA from 1 species